rnacentral:rRNA from 1 species
AUUGAACGCUGGCGGCAUGCUUUACACAUGCAAGUCGAACGGCAGCGCGGGGCAACCUGGCGGCGAGUGGCGCACGGGUGAGUAAUAUAUCGGAACGUACCCAGAAGUGGGGGAUAACGUAGCGAAAGUUACGCUAAUACCGCAUACGAUCUGCGGAUGAAAGUAGGGGACCGCAAGGCCUUAUGCUUUUGGAGCGGCCGAUAUCUGAUUAGCUAGUUGGUGAGGUAAAGGCUCACCAAGGCGACGAUCAGUAGCUGGUCUGAGAGGACGACCAGCCACACUGGAACUGAGACACGGUCCAGACUCCUACGGGAGGCAGCAGUGGGGAAUUUUGGACAAUGGGCGCAAGCCUGAUCCAGCAAUGCCGCGUGAGUGAAGAAGGCCUUCGGGUUGUAAAGCUCUUUUGUCAGGGAAGAAACGGUAGAGGCUAAUAUCCUUUGCUAAUGACGGUACCUGAAGAAUAAGCACCGGCUAACUACGUG